UCCUUAAUGGUGGCCUUCAAGGUUUGGUAGCAAAGACUCCAAGAUCAGCUCUAACCCAUCCCUACAUUGUUCAGCGACAAUGAUCCUAGUGGUGAAGGCAGCGAAAAUGCUACUUAAAAUUGGAGAGGUGGUGCUGCAUUGGUCCUCUUGUUGUACGAAAGGAAUCGCUGGAGCUUUGGGGACAAGAAGUGCCAACGGCCACGACAACUGUACACAGGCAACAGUAUCGGAGGAACCGAGAUGCUGUGACCCCCAUCCAUCCAUCCAGUACAUCCAUGACAUCAUUGUGUGGGGGGACACAGCAGAAGAAGUUUUCGAGAAAGGACAGAAGAUCAUCCAGAUUCUCCUCGAGGCCGGUUUUGCCAUCAAGAAGAGUAAGGUCAAGGGCCCUGCCCAAGAGAUCCAGUUCCUAGGGCUGAAAUGGCAAAUGGACGACACCAGAUACCAACAGACGUCCUCAACAAGAUUGUAGCAAUGGCUCCACCCACAAACAAGAAAGAAACCCAAGCUUUUCUGGGAGCCAUUGGCUUCUGGAGGAUGCACAUCCCAGAGUACAGCCAGAUGGUGAGCCCUCUUUACUUUGUGACCUGUGAAAAGAACAAUUUCCAAGGGGGUCCUGAACAACAACAAGCUUUCAGGCAGAUCAAGCAAGAGAUUGCACAUGCCGUGGCUCUUGGAGCAGUCAGGACAGGACCAGAGGUAAAGAAUGUGCUCUACUCUGCAGCUGGAGAUAAAGGUCCCUCCUGGAGCCUCUGGCCAAAGGUGCCUGGUGAGACGUGAGGGCGACCACUGGGUUUCUGGAGCCGAAGCUACAGAGGUUCUGAGGCCAAUUCCACCCCUGAGGAGAAGGAAAUCUUAGCAGCCUAUGAAGGCAUACGAGCAGCUGCAGAGCUUUCAGAUUCAGCAAUGUCCUCACUCACAACAGACCAGGGUCCCUUUCCAGAGUAAUGGAGGAGCACCAUGAUUUUUUAAUCCAAAAUUCCCGGAUUUGAAUGAAAUGCUCUGGAAAGGCUCUGGAAAUCAUUUGGUGUUCACAAUCAUCAAUGAAGAUGUUCACCAGGAAUUGCUGAUCACUGGCCUCCAGCUGGAUGUUGCACUCCUGAUCACCACCCCAGCCAGCAGAUUUCAACCAGCCUGCUGUCUGCUCAUCCAGCCCAUACUUCAUGGGCUUCUCUGUGAGGGAGCCCUGUCUGUGUCCACUAGUACACACAUUCAUUUGGAUUUUAAACAAUCAAACAGAAGUGAGAGUUUUAAGAGCAGAAUUAUUUUUAAAAGGGAAAUAGAAGGGUAUGGCUUUGAUGGAACGAGUGCCUUCAAGCUCCAUUGGCAGGCACUGUUUGAAAACUAUUUGGGUGAUUUUUGAUAAGAAAUGAAAGAUGCAACAGCAGGAA